AUUGAACGCUGGCGGCAUGCUUUACACAUGCAAGUCGAACGGCAGCGCGGGCUUCGGCCUGGCGGCGAGUGGCGAACGGGUGAGUAAUGCAUCGGAACGUGCCCAGUCGUGGGGGAUAGCCCGGCGAAAGCCGGAUUAAUACCGCAUCCGACCUGAGGGUGAAAGCGGGGGACCGAAAGGCCUCGCGCUAUUGUAGCGGCCGAUGUCGGAUUAGCUAGUUGGUGGGGUAAAGGCUUACCAAGGCGACGAUCCGUAGCUGGUCUGAGAGGACGACCAGCCACACUGGGACUGAGACACGGCCCAGACUCCUACGGGAGGCAGCAGUGGGGAAUUUUGGACAAUGGGGGCAACCCUGAUCCAGCCAUGCCGCGUGCGGGAAGAAGGCCUUCGGGUUGUAAACCGCUUUUGUUCGGGAAGAAAUCCUCUGGGCUAAUACCCCGGGGGGAUGACGGUACCGGAAGAAUAAGCACCGGCUAACUACGUG
rnacentral:rRNA from 1 species